rnacentral:rRNA from 1 species
UAAGGAAUAUUGGUCAAUGGGCGCAAGCCUGAACCAGCCAUGCCGCGUGAAGGAUGAAGGUCCUCUGGAUUGUAAACUUCUUUUAUCUAUGAAGAAAUGUCCUGAUUCUUCGGGACUUGACGGUAAUAGAUGAAUCAGCACCGGCUAACUCCGUGCCAGCAGCCGCGGUAAUACGGAGGGUGCAAGCGUUAUCCGGAUUCACUGGGUUUAAAGGGUGCGUAGGUUGACCGGGAAGUCAGUGGUGAAAUACUCUCGCUUAACGAGAGAACUGCCGUUGAUACUAUCGGUCUUGAAUACGGUGGAGGCGGGCGGAAUGUGUCAUGUAGUAGUGAAAUACUUAGAUAUGACACAGAACACCCAUUGCGAAGGCAGCUCGCUACGCCGUCAUUGACACUGAGGCACGAAAGCGUGGGGAUCAAACAGGAUUAGAUACCCUGGUAGUCCACGCCCUAAACGAUGUUCACUCGAUCUCAGCGAUACACUGUUGGGGUCUAUGCAAAAGCACUAAGUGAACCACCUGGGGAGUACGAUCGCAAGAUUGA